CUAAGGUCUUGCUAUGUUGCCUAGACUGGUUUUGAACUCCUGGGCUGAAGCAAUCCUCCCACUUCGGCCUCUCAAAGUGCUGGGAUAUCAGACAUGAGCCACCUGCCAUGCUUGGCCUAUAAUCAUGAAAAGAUCAACCCCAAGAAAGAAAAGGAAACAUGGAAGGACCUGGACUGGAGUCACGCCAGUACAAGGAGGAUACUGGCAAAGAUGAGGCUAGUCAAGUGGAGCAGUGGGAGUGAAGAUGGAAUAAAGAAAUCCAUAACUGGUUGUGAUUAAGUAGUUGUAAACACCAACUGCACUCAGACCAACCCAUAUAUAUAUUUUUAAUUCUGCCUAGGAAUAGCCAGGCAACCAGCUGCUACUUUGAGCACCCGGCUAAAAUAAGCAGAGACAACUGGAAGGCUUGAUGUGAAAAAGAGCUGUUGAAGUGUACACAAGCAAGCUGACUGCCUUAUGACUAAUACUUGACAGAACCCAGCAAGAGGAUAUGAGAUUGCAGAUGGAUGACCUCAAUCCUGAACAGAAAGGCGUGCAUGAUAAUGGAGAGAAAAAAGCCAAUGGGGAAAAAAAACCCACCACUAUUUUUUUAAUAGCCUAACACACACACAAAAAACUGGUUUUCCUUUUUCUGUAAUGUGUCUGUAGAGCUGGCUAUUCUGAUUAAAGUUGCCCUUGAAAAAGCAAUUAACUUAAGAGUCUUACUGGAAGUUAAAAAUCCCAAGGGGCAGGAAAAAUGAGUGUAUGGGAAGCCCAGUCAACAGGUCAGAAGGUACAGCUGGGAGGUUUUAGCAUUACGUACCGUGUGUUUUUCGUUUAAGGGAGA
rnacentral:lncRNA from 1 species